rnacentral:rRNA from 1 species
AUCCUGGCUCAGGAUGAACGCUAGCUACAGGCUUAACACAUGCAAGUCGUGGGGCAGCAUGGGGUCAGCUUGCUGACUCCGAUGGCGACCGGCGCACGGGUGAGUAACGCGUAUCCAACCUUCCCCUUAGUAGGGCAUAGCCCGGCGAAAGUCGGAUUAAUACCCUAUGUUGUAUGAUGAUGACAUCUGACUCAUACCAAAGAUUUAUCGCUAAGGGAUGGGGAUGCGUCCGAUUAGCUUGCCGGCGGGGUAACGGCCCACCGGGGCGACGAUCGGUAGGGGUUCUGAGAGGAAGGUCCCCCACACUGGUACUGAGACACGGACCAGACUCCUACGGGAGGCAGCAGUGAGGAAUAUUGGUCAAUGGGCGCAAGCCUGAACCAGCCAAGUAGCGUGCAGGACGACGGCCCUACGGGUUGUAAACUGCUUUUAUGCGGGGAUAAACUGCGGAACGCGUCCCGCAUUGCAGGUACCGCAUGAAUAAGGACCGGCUAAUUCCGUGCC